AUUGAACGCUGGCGGCAGGCCUAACACAUGCAAGUCGAGCGGAUGAAGGGAGCUUGCUCCUGGAUUCAGCGGCGGACGGGUGAGUAAUGCCUAGGAAUCUGCCUGGUAGUGGGGGAUAACGUCCGGAAACGGGCGCUAAUACCGCAUACGUCCUGAGGGAGAAAGUGGGGGAUCUUCGGACCUCACGCUAUCAGAUGAGCCUAGGUCGGAUUAGCUAGUUGGUGGGGUAAAGGCCUACCAAGGCGACGAUCCGUAACUGGUCUGAGAGGAUGAUCAGUCACACGGGAAGUGAGACACGGUCCAGACUCCUACGGGAGGCAGGAGGGGGGAAUAUUGGAAAGUGGGCGAAAGCCUGAUCCAGCCAUGCCGCGUGUGUGAAGAAGGUCUUCGGAUUGUAAAGCACUUUAAGGUGGGAGGAAGGGCAGUAAGUUAAUACCUUGCUGUUUUGACGUUACCAACAGAAUAAGCACCGGCUAACUUCGU
rnacentral:rRNA from 1 species